rnacentral:rRNA from 1 species
GUAGGAGCGCUGAAGAGAGGAGCUUGCUCUUCUUGGAUGAGUUGCGAACGGGUGAGUAACGCGUAGGUAACCUGCCUUGUAGCGGGGGAUAACUAUUGGAAACGAUAGCUAAUACCGCAUAACAAUGGAUGACACAUGUCAUUUAUUUGAAAGGGGCAAUUGCUCCACUACAAGAUGGACCUGCGUUGUAUUAGCUAGUAGGUGAGGUAAUGGCUCACCUAGGCGACGAUACAUAGCCGACCUGAGAGGGUGAUCGGCCACACUGGGACUGAGACACGGCCCAGACUCCUACGGGAGGCAGCAGUAGGGAAUCUUCGGCAAUGGGGGCAACCCUGACCGAGCAACGCCGCGUGAGUGAAGAAGGUUUUCGGAUCGUAAAGCUCUGUUGUAAGUCAAGAACGGGUGUGAGAGUGGAAAGUUCACACUGUGACGGUAGCUUACCAGAAAGGGACGGCUAACUACGUGCCAGCAGCCGCGGUAAUACGUAGGUCCCGAGCGUUGUCCGGAUUUAUUGGGCGUAAAGCGAGCGCAGGCGGUUUGAUAAGUCUGAAGUUAAAGGCUGUGGCUCAACCAUAGUUCGCUUUGGAAACUGUCAAACUUGAGUGCAGAAGGGGAGAGUGGAAUUCCAUGUGUAGCGGUGAAAUGCGUAGAUAUAUGGAGGAACACCGGUGGCGAAAGCGGCUCUCUGGUCUGUAACUGACGCUGAGGCUCGAAAGCGUGGGGAGCGAACAGGAUUAGAUACCCUGGUAGUCCACGCCGUAAACGAUGAGUGCUAGGUGUUGGAUCCUUUCCGGGAUUCAGUGCCGCAGCUAACGCAUUAAGCACUCCGCCUGGGGAGUACGACCGCAAGGUUGAAACUCAAAGGAAUUGACGGGGGCCCGCACAAGCGGUGGAGCAUGUGGUUUAAUUCGAAGCAACGCGAAGAACCUUACCAGGUCUUGACAUCCCGAUGCUAUUUCUAGAGAUAGAAAGUUACUUCGGUACAUCGGUGACAGGUGGUGCAUGGUUGUCGUCAGCUCGUGUCGUGAGAUGUUGGGUUAAGUCCCGCAACGAGCGCAACCCCUAUUGUUAGUUGCCAUCAUUCAGUUGGGCACUCUAGCGAGACUGCCGGUAAUAAACCGGAGGAAGGUGGGGAUGACGUCAAAUCAUCAUGCCCCUUAUGACCUGGGCUACACACGUGCUACAAUGGUUGGUACAACGAGUUGCGAGUCGGUGACGGCGAGCUAAUCUCUUAAAGCCAAUCUCAGUUCGGAUUGUAGGCUGCAACUCGCCUACAUGAAGUCGGAAUCGCUAGUAAUCGCGGAUCAGCACGCCGCGGUGAAUACGUUCC